AGUGAACGCUGGCGGUAGGCCUAACACAUGCAAGUCGAACGGCAGCACAGUAAGAGCUUGCUCUUACGGGUGGCGAGUGGCGGACGGGUGAGGAAUACAUCGGAAUCUACUUUUUCGUGGGGGAUAACGUAGGGAAACUUGCGCUAAUACCGCAUACGACCUACGGGUGAAAGCAGGGGAUCUUCGGACCCUGCGCGAUUGAAUGAGCCGAUGUCGGAUUAGCUAGUUGGCGGGGUAAAGGCCCACCAAGGCGACGAUCCGUAGCUGGUCUGAGAGGAUGAUCUGCCACACUGGAACUGAGACACGGUCCAGACUCCUACGGGAGGCAGCAGUGGGGAAUAUUGGACAAUGGGCGCAAGCCUGAUCCAGCCAUACCGCGUGGGUGAAGAAGGCCUUCGGGUUGUAAAGCCCUUUUGUUGGGAAAGAAAAGCAGCAGGUUAAUACCCCGCUGUUCUGACGGUACCCAAAGAAUAAGCACCGGCUAACUUCGUG
rnacentral:rRNA from 1 species